rnacentral:rRNA from 1 species
GAUGAACGCUGGCGGCGUGCCUAAUACAUGCAAGUCGAGCGAACAGAUAAGGAGCUUGCUCCUUUGACGUUAGCGGCGGACGGGUGAGUAACACGUGGAUAACCUACCUAUAAGACUGGGAUAACUUCGGGAAACCGGAGCUAAUACCGGAUAAUAUAUUGAACCGCAUGGUUCAAUAGUGAAAGACGGUUUUGCUGUCACUUAUAGAUGGAUCCGCGCCGCAUUAGCUAGUUGGUAAGGUAACGGCUUACCAAGGCAACGAUGCGUAGCCGACCUGAGAGGGUGAUCGGCCACACUGGAACUGAGACACGGUCCCGAAUCCUACGGGAGGGAGCAGUAGGGAAUCUUCCGCAAUGGGCGAAAGCUUGACGGAGCAACGCCGCGUGAGUGAUGAAGGUCUUCGGAUCGUAAAACUCUGUUAUUAGGGAAGAACAAAUGUGUAAGUAACUAUGCACGUCUUGACGGUACCUAAUCAGAAAGCCACGGCUAACUACGUG